UACGAAGGGGGCUAGCGUUGUUCGGAAUCACUGGGCGUAAAGGGCGCGUAGGCGGCUUUAUAAGUCGGGGGUGAAAGCCUGUGGCUCAACCAUAGAAUUGCCUUCGAUACUGUAGAGCUUGAGACCGGAAGAGGUAAGUGGAACUGCGAGUGUAGAGGUGAAAUUCGUAGAUAUUCGCAAGAACACCAGUGGCGAAGGCGGCUUACUGGUCCGGUUCUGACGCUGAGGCGCGAAAGCGUGGGGAGCGAUCCGG
rnacentral:rRNA from 1 species